GACUCUGUGGCGCAACGGUAGCGCGUCUGACUCCAGAUCAGAAGGUUGAGUGUUCAAAUCACGUCAGGGUCA
rnacentral:tRNA from 1 species